rnacentral:lncRNA from 1 species
AGCUGCAUCGUGAUCUUCUUCAAAUGGACGCACGGGAUGAGACGAGAAGGAAGCUAGACACGCUGCUGAUUUUUUUCUUUAUUUUGAAUUCCAAUGCAUAAUUCCAAUGCACUCUAGGGACUGUGAUGUGCAGACAAGUGUUGCUCGGGUGCAAGUGUACUUGAUCAGAAUAAUUAUGCUCCAGCAUGAUCAGGUUCGGAGUUAUGCAUAAUCCCAAUCUGUACCAAAUACGCAUCUUAACUCUGAUUUACGAUCAUCUGCAUCCAACAAAAAAUAUAAUAUUAAUACAGCACUUCUAUCAUUAUUUGUUAGCAAUAAUACUAAUUUAAGUGAUGUGUAGAUCGCACUUUUAUACUCUCAUCACUAGGCAAGGCUUAAAGCGGCCCGCGCUAUCAAAUGAAGCGCUACGAGCUCGCCCCACAUGAGAUUUAUUUUUAAAUUAGGGAUGUACCGAACCCGGAGAUCCCUACAUGUACUAAGUGCAACCCCUGCUAUGCGAGAUGGGCCCGAGUCUGGGUUACAUAAUUCGGAUCUUAAUGUCCGAGCAUGAAACAAAACAAACUCAAAACACUUAUUAGAAGAAAAGGGCCUAAACAGCCAGCCUUACAAGAAUAAGAAUAAAAAUCAAUCGAAAUGGACGACCUCCGCAUUAGUGUCGGCUACGGCCUCCGGCUCGGUUACAACCUCGAGAGCGUUGUCCCCACCUACUUCGAUGGCUUCAGCUCCAGCGCCGGCGUCAGGAACGACUGAUGAUCCACCCGUUGGCAGCUUCGGGGGCAAUCUCCAGCCUGGCCUCGCCAAUGGCUUCGGCAGUUUCUUCUUCCACCUCAGCGGCCCCAUCUAGGUUUGGCUCAAGAUGCUGAGGUCGACUCCAGGGCAGAACUGCUGGACUUGGAGACGACAAUUGUCGAAACCCUGGCCCAUGGUAGCAGUAGCCCCUUCCGCUAGUUCGACAAUAUACUCCCCCGACUAACGAAAUUUCUCGACGGCCUCGCGGGCGGACAAUUCCACCAGGCCCUUGAGCCGCCCAAUCUUUAGCUCCCGCUCUUCCACCUCGCCCCGAAGGCGGACUAGAGCAGCUUCGAGCUCAGAAAUACGGCUCGCCGAGGAGGAGCGAGCCCGAGAAUGAUCAGCCUGCAUGAAUUCGGGGCAAGCUGCACAGGCACCAGGCCAUACUCCAUCAAAAGCUCACCCACAAACUUAUGCAGAGGGAAUCUCAACCUUGCUUAGAGUGUAUCUACGUACACCCCGACCCAACCGUUGGGUGGGUUGGUGACUCGGCCUCCGAAGUCCGGGAGCUCAAGCAUGAACUCCAGAGGAAUGAAGAAUCAGGCUU